rnacentral:rRNA from 1 species
GACGAACGCUGGCGGCGUGCUUAACACAUGCAAGUCGAACGGAAAGGCCCUGCUUUUGUGGGGUGCUCGAGUGGCGAACGGGUGAGUAACACGUGAGUAACCUGCCCUUGACUUUGGGAUAACUUCAGGAAACUGGGGCUAAUACCGGAUAGGAGCUCCUGCUGCAUGGUGGGGGUUGGAAAGUUUCGGCGGUUGGGGAUGGACUCGCGGCUUAUCAGCUUGUUGGUGGGGUAGUGGCUUACCAAGGCUUUGACGGGUAGCCGGCCUGAGAGGGUGACUGGCCACAUUGGGACUGAGAUACGGCCCAGACUCCUACGGGAGGCAGCAGUGGGGAAUAUUGCACAAUGGGCGGAAGCCUGACGCAGCAACGCCGCGUGCGGGAUGACGGCCUUCGGGUUGUAAACCGCUUUCGCCUGUGACGAAGCGUGAGUGACGGUAAUGGAUAAAGAAGCACCGGCUAACUACGUG